ensembl:lncRNA
GUGACUGUGUCUGUCUCCCCUCUCUUGACAGCCCCCUUUUUGCCUCAUAACCAUAAUAUCUCCCUUCUUUGACACUCAAACAGAAUGUUGUCAAUUAUUUAUUAAUCUUUCCACUCAAUAAUAAUGUUCUAAUUGUCCAUGCUUCUUUUGCGCGCCUCGUCUUGCUCUUUCUAGAGCACUAUCUGGGCCACUGCCUUUCACACUUUGUACCUCACCUCAUGUCCCCUGUUCUCCCCUCUUGUUGCUCUCUCUCGCUCUGCAUUUACACCAUCUCCCUCACUCUAGGCAACAACCCACUUCCAUUUCACUCUCUCUUCUUUCUUCAGCUUCUCCGUCAUCUUUCUACCUCGCCGUCCCACGCACUGUCCAUCCUUUUAUUUUCUCCUACUCACCCACCUCGGGAUGGUGAGGCUGGCUGCCAGUGCCCUUCUUCAUUCAAUUAAGGGCCGAGUGUUGCUGUUAUUGCUACGGCUAAUAAGGAACUACUUCUAGCUCGCCGCCUGGCCGUCACAGGCACGAGCAUAAAUAGGCGCCAUUCCUCGUCUCCUUCUCAGGCAAUCACCGUCCUUAUUACUAUCAUCUGAGAGGAGGACGCGCACGCAUCGAGACCCACGCACAAACAGUGAGCGUUGUGUGCGUGUGUCAGUGUUAGUGGGUGGAUGGAUGGAUGGAGAGCCUGAGGAGAAGCGAGUGAGAGAAAUGGAAUUGGAAGACAGUGGAGGGAAGUGACAGAUGAGAUUUGUGUGCCGAGUUUGUGUUAGUGGAUUCUGGAUGGUACUGUGUUUGACUGGCUGGUAGGUGUGUGUGUGUGUGUGUGUGUGUGUGUGUGUGUGUGUGUGUGUGUGUGUGUGUGUGUGCGUGAGUGUGUCUAUGUGUGUGACAAAGAGAGACAAAGCUGGCGGGAGUGAUGAGAUUAUUAAGUGCGCAAGUGUGAUAUUUGCAUAUACAGCAACUGCACGUGUGAGUGGAUCUGUGUGUGUGUGUGUGUUUGUGUGUGUGUGUAUCCGUGCAUGGUGAAGAAAGUGGCAGGCAGGGAGAGUUGUUGAGUGUGCACCAGGAGAGCGAGCACCCCUCUAGGCGGUUGUUGCAUGUUGGAUCCACACUGACAUGGAUGUAAUUGGUGGGAACUAGCUGGGUUUGUGGCUCUGUGGAAACGGAGACCCAGCAGACCUCUCAGUCUCCGCCUCUCCAACUUUCUCUUUCUUCAUCUCCCUCCGUUACGCCUCCGUCCACUCUUUGGCUUG